rnacentral:rRNA from 1 species
GAUGAACGCUGGCGGCGUGCCUAAUACAUGCAAGUCGAGCGAAUGGAUUAAGAGCUUGCUCUUAUGAAGUUAGCGGCGGACGGGUGAGUAACACGUGGGUAACCUGCCCAUAAGACUGGGAUAACUCCGGGAAACCGGGGCUAAUACCGGAUAACAUUUUGAACCGCAUGGUUCGAAAUUGAAAGGCGGCUUCGGCUGUCACUUAUGGAUGGACCCGCGUCGCAUUAGCUAGUCGGUGAGGUAACGGCUCACCAAGGCAACGAUGCGUAGCCGACCUGAGAGGGUGAUCGGCCACACUGGGACUGAGACAGGGCCCAGACUCCUACGGGAGGCAGCAGUAGGGAAUCUUCCGCAAUGGACGAAAGUCUGACGGAGCAACGCCGCGUGAGUGAUGAAGGCUUUCGGGUCGUAAAACUCUGUUGUUAGGGAAGAACAAGUGCUAGUUGAAUAAGCUGGCACCUUGACGGUACCUAACCAGAAAGCCACGGCUAACUACGUGCCAGCCGCCGCGGUAA